GCUGUCAGGAGGGAAGAAACUGUUUAGUCAUAAUACGGCUAUUCACUGACGGUACCUCCAGAGGAAGCACCGGCUAACUCCGUGCCAGCAGCCGCGGUAAUACGGAGGGUGCGAGCGUUAAUCGGAAUCACUGGGCGUAAAGCGUGCGUAGGCGGCGCGGUAAGUCAGACGUGAAAGCCCUCGGCUCAACCGAGGAAUUGCGUUUGAAACUGCUGUGCUUGAGUCUCGGAGAGGUUGGCGGAAUUCCAGGUGUAGGAGUGAAAUCCGUAGAUAUCUGGAGGAACACCGGUGGCGAAGGCGGCCAACUGGACGAGUACUGACGCUGAGGUACGAAAGCGUGGGGAGCAAACAGGAUUAGAUACCCUGGUAGUCCACGCCGUAAACGAUGGAUAUUAGGUGUCGGGGGUAACCCUUCGGUGCCGCAGUUAACGCGUUAAAUAUCCCGCCUGG
rnacentral:rRNA from 1 species